CUUUCUGCCUACCAACUCCUCUUCUGACAAGCCCGUUUACAAACUACAGUCCGUCGAGGUGACUGGCAGACUGAUGUGGGUAUCUGGAUUCUUGGCAGCUACUGAAUAUCAUACACGAGUUAAUUACAGAACGCACACAGCAGGAAGAGUAGAGAGUGUGAAUGUUGGGCCGUGCUGGCAUGUUGGAAAGAGAUCAUUAAUAUUGUUCAAGAGGUGUAUGUCAAAAAGGAUUCUAUUGCUUUUUUAUUCCUUUAAAGUUUGUGCUAGGACUAGACUGUUAUAUCGUUCUUAAAUCAAAUCGAUUGCCUGUGUCCCAUAGUAGAUCAAAUCAAAUCACGUUUUUGUCGCAUGAUCGGGAUACAACAGGUGUAGACGUUACCGUGAAACUGUUGGCCCAAACUAACAAUGCGAAUUUUAAUUUAAAAAAUAGGUAUUAGGUUCUCUUAAAAUCUUAGUGUUGAGGGAAUACCGAAAACAACACAAGACCCAUAUUAUAAUAUAAGUAUUGUAUUUAUCCUAAUCCAUCCUAUGUGUUGGUAGUCCUGUUGUCAUCCUGUCCUAUCCAUCACAAUGAUGACUACUUCCUGAGACCUAUCACUGUAAUAUGGCAGUUCUAUAUGCACACCGUGAGGUAAGAAUGGAAACGUUUGUGUGUGUGUGUGUGUGUAUGAGUGUUUGUGUGUGUGUGUGUGUGCGUGCAUGCUUGAGUGUGUGUGUGUAUGAGUGUGUGUGUGUGUACAUGUGUGUGUGCAUGCGUGUGUGUAUGAGUGAGAAUGUGUGUAUGUGUGUACAUGUGUGUGUGUAUGUGUGAGAAUGUGUGUGUGUAUGUGUGAGAAUGUGUGUGUGUGUGUACAUGUGUGUGUGUAUGUGUGAGAAUGUGUGUGUGUGUAUAUGUAUGUGUGAGAAUGUGUGUGUGCAUGCGUGUGUGUAUGUGUGAGAAUGUGUGUGUGUGUGUGUACAUGUGUCUGUGUAUAUGUGUGAGAAUGUGUGUGUAUGUGUCUAUAUGUACUACACCACAGGUAUACAGCUGUGAUCAACAAGGAAGUACUGGUUCUAAUAGAGGGCUGGUUUUCUAAAAACAAAGCCCAGAAAUGGCCUCUGCAGCUGUCCCUCCUCACUGCCCAGCACUCUGUCCUAGUUGGCCUCACACACCAUCUCAUACAGGGGGGAUACUCUGCCAGCCUGAUCUCACCUUUCUUCCCAUGACUUAUAGGACCUGAGCCCUAGGACCAUGCCCCAGGACUACCUGACAUGAUGACUCCUUGCUGUCCCCAGUCCACCUGGCCAUGCUGCUGCUCCAGUUUCAACUGUUCUGCCUUACUAUUAUUCAACCAUGCUGGUCAUUUAUGAACAUUUGAACAUCUUGGCCACGUUCUGUUAUAAUCUCCACCCGGCACAGCCAGAAGAGGACUGGCCACCCCACAUAUGCUCUCUCUAAUUCUCUCUUUCUUUCUCUCUCUCUCGGAGGACCUGAGCCCUAGGACCGUGCCCCAGGACUACCUGACAUGAUGACUCCUUGCUGUCCCCAAUCCACCUGACUGUGCUGCUGCUCCAGUUUCAACUGUUCUGCCUUAUUAUUAUUCGACCAUGCUGGUCAUUUAUGAACAUCUUGGUCAUGUUCUGUUAUAAUCUCUACCCGGCACAGCCAGAAGAGGACUGGCCACCCCACAUAGCCUGGUUCCUCUCUAGGUUUCUUCCUAGGUUUUGGCCUUUCUAGGGAGUUUUUCCUAGCCACCGUGCUUUUACACCUGCAUUGUUUGCUGUUUGGGGUUUUAGGCUGGGUUUCUGUACAGCACUUUGAGAUAUCAGCUGAUGUACGAAGGGCUAUAUAAAUAAAUUUGAUUUGAUUUGAUUUGAUUGUUGGAGUGUGCCUCUGGCCAUCUGUAAAUAUUAUUUAAAAACAGAUGGGGGUUGACAGGUGUUUCAGGCCUCAAUAUAACUCACUGCAGACCUGGACAUGACCCCUGGACAUGACCCACUGCUUGGUUUGGAUUAUGGGACUUGGAACUCUGGCUGUCAUUGAACUUCAUUUGACUGGACGCCCUUUAGAACCAUGUUGUAAACUUGUGAACGUGGAAUAUGUAGUGUUGUGCACAGAAACAACAUGUUUUACAUUGUCAAUGUCCACAGCUCUGUUGAUUAUCUACUUUAUAAUAAACUUCCGAACGGAUCAACA